rnacentral:ncRNA from 1 species
GCCGGAUAAGGCGUUCACGCCGCAUCCGGCAAUGAGCGCCUGAUGCGACGCUUGCGCGUCUUAUCAGGCC